rnacentral:rRNA from 1 species
GACGAACGCUGGCGGCGUGCCUAAUACAUGCAAGUCGAGCGGAAGUUGGAGAGCUUGCUCUUCAACUUUAGCGGCGGACGGGUGAGUAACACGUGGGCAACCUGCCCUGCAGAUCGGGAUAACUCCGGGAAACCGGUGCUAAUACCGAAUAGUUUUCGCCACCUCCUGGUGGCGUACGGAAAGACGGUUUCGGCUGUCACUGCAGGACGGGCCCGCGGCGCAUUAGCUAGUUGGUGGGGUAACGGCCCACCAAGGCGACGAUGCGUAGCCGACCUGAGAGGGUGAUCGGCCACACUGGGACUGAGACACGGCCCAGACUCCUACGGGAGGCAGCAGUAGGGAAUCUCCCGCAAUGGACGAAAGUCUGACGGAGCAACGCCGCGUGAGUGACGAAGGUUUUCGGAUCGUAAAACUCUGUUGUGAGGGAAGAACAAGUACCACUUAACUACUGGUACCUUGACGGUACCUCACCAGAAAGCCACGGCUAACUACGUGCCAGCAGCCGCGGUAACAC